rnacentral:rRNA from 1 species
ACCUCAUGUGAACUUACCUUUGUUGCUUCGGCGGCGGAGGCUACCCUGCGGGAGAAUACCACUUAGUGGUUACCCCUGUAGUUUCAGGUACAUCAGCUACCCGGUAGUCAUCCCCGCCGGCGGCCAACUAAACUCUGUUUUCUUUGGAAUUCUGAAUAACAAACUUAAUAAGUUAAAACUUUCAACAACGGAUCUCUUGGUUCUGGCAUCGAUGAAGAACGCAGCGAAAUGCGAUAAGUAAUGUGAAUUGCAGAAUUCAGUGAAUCAUCGAAUCUUUGAACGCACAUUGCGCCCAUUAGCAUUCUAGUGGGCAUGCCUGUUCGAGCGUCAUUUUCACCACUUAAAGCCUUGUUUGCUUAGCGUUGGGAGCCUACGGCACGGCCCGUAGCUCCUUAAAGUGAUUGGCGGAGUUGGUUCUCACUCUAAGCGUAGUAAUUAUAUCUCGCGUUCUGUAGUGGUCCCGGCCCUGCCGUAGAAACCCUUAUACAAAGGUUGACCUCGGAUCAGGUACGGAAUACCGGUGAACUUUAAGC